CUACCGGGGUAUCUAAUCCUGUUUGCUCCCCACGCUUUCGCACCUCAGCGUCAGAAUCGAGCCAGUGAGCCGCCUUCGCCACUGGUGUUCCUCCGAAUAUCUACGAAUUUCACCUCUACACUCGGAAUUCCACUCACCUCUCUCGACCUCCAGACCAGCAGUUUUGGAGGCAGUUCCGGGGUUGAGCCCCGGGAUUUCACCCCCAACUUGAUGGUCCGCCUACGUGCGCUUUACGCCCAGUAAUUCCGAACAACGCUAGCCCCCUCCGUAUUACCGCGGCUGCUGGCAC
rnacentral:rRNA from 1 species